GCCCGUGUGGCCUAGUGGUUAUGGCGGUCGCCUCACAAUACUUCAAUGAGAUUAUCGCGACAGGUCCAAGGUUCGACCCCCCUGACGUGGGCA